rnacentral:miRNA from 15 species
CUGGGAGAGGGGUGUUUACUCC